rnacentral:rRNA from 1 species
CCUAAGGUUUCCUGAGGAAGGCUCGUCCGCUCAGGGUUAGUCGGGACCUAAGCCGAGGCCGAAAGGCGUAGGCGAUGGACAACAGGUUGAUAUUCCUGUACCACCUCCUCACCAUUUGAGCAAUGGGGGGACGCAGGAGGAUAGGGUAAGCGCGGUAUUGGAUAUCCGCGUCCAAGCAGUUAGGCUGGGAAAUAGGCAAAUCCGUUUCCCAUAAGGCUGAGCUGUGAUGGCGAGCGAAACAUAGUAGCGAAGUUCCUGAUUCCACACUGCCAAGAAAAGCCUCUAGCGAGGUGAGAGGUGCCCGUACCGCAAACCGACACAGGUAGGCGAGGAGAGAAUCCUAAGGUGAUCGAGAGAACUCUCGUUAAGGAACUCGGCAAAAUGACCCCGUAACUUCGUGAGAAGGGGCGCUCUGUUAGGGUGCAAGCCCGAGAGAGCCGCAGUGAAUAGGCCCAGGCGACUGUUUAGCAAAAACACAGGUCUCUGCGAAGCCGUAAGGCGAAGUAUAGGGGCUGACGCCUGCCCGGUGCUGGAAGGUUAAGAGGAGCGCUUAGCGUAAGCGAAGGUGCGAAUUGAAGCCCCAGUAAACGGCGGCCGUAACGAUAACGGUCCUAAGGUAGCGAAAUUCCUUGUCGUGUAAGUUCCGACCCGCACGAAAGGCGCAACGAUCUGGGCACUGUCUCAACGAGAGACUCGGUGAAAUUAUAGUACCUGUGAAGAUGCAGGUUACCCGCGACAGGACGGAAAGACCCCGUGGAGCUUUACUGCAGCCUGAUAUUGAAUGUUGGUACAGCUUGUACAGGAUAGGUAGGAGCCUUGGAAACCGGAGCGCCAGCUUUGGUGGAGGCAUCGGUGGGAUACUACCCUGGCUGUAUUGACCUUCUAACCCGCCGCCCUUAUCGGGCGGGGAGACAGUGUCAGGUGGGCAGUUUGACUGGGGCGGUCGCCUCCUAAAAGGUAACGGAGGCGCCCAAAGGUUCCCUCAGAAUGGUUGGAAAUCAUUCGCAGAGUGUAAAGGCACAAGGGAGCUUGACUGCGAGACCUACAAGUCGAGCAGGGACGAAAGUCGGGCUUAGUGAUCCGGUGGUUCCGCAUGGAAGGGCCAUCGCUCAACGGAUAAAAGCUACCCCGGGGAUAACAGGCUUAUCUCCCCCAAGAGUCCACAUCGACGGGGAGGUUUGGCACCUCGAUGUCGGCUCAUCGCAUCCUGGGGCUGUAGUCGGUCCCAAGGGUUGGGCUGUUCGCCCAUUAAAGCGGUACGCGAGCUGGGUUCAGAACGUCGUGAGACAGUUCGGUCCCUAUCCGUCGCGGGCGCAGGAAAUUUGAGAGGAGCUGUCCUUAGUACGAGAGGACCGGGAUGGACGCACCGCUGGUGUACCAGUUGUUCUGCCAAGGGCAUCGCUGGGUAGCUAUGUGCGGACGGGAUAAGUGCUGAAAGCAUCUAAGCAUGAAGCCCCCCUCAAGAUGAGAUUUCCCAUUCCGCAAGGAAGUAAGAUCCCUGAAAGAUGAUCAGGUUGAUAGGUCUGAGGUGGAAGUGUGGCGACACAUGGAGCUGACAGAUACUAAUCGAUCGAGGACUUAACC